UGGUUAAAAAGCUCGUAGUUGGAUCUCAACAGCCUUGAAGCGGUUAACUUUGUAGUUUUACUGCUUUAUAGGCUGUGCUUUUGCUGGAGGUUUAGGGGUGCUCUUGAUCGAGUGUCUCUGGAUGCCAGCAGGUUUACUUUGAAAAAAUUAGAGUGCUCAAAGCAGGCUAAAAUGCCUGAAUAUUCGUGCAUGGAAUAAUAGAAUAGGAUGUCGAUCCUAUUUUGUUGGUUUUCGGGACUCGACAUAAUGAUAAAUAGGGACAGUCGGGGGCAUUUGUAUUCAAACGACAGAGGUGAAAUUCUUGGACCGUUUGAAGACAAACUACUGCGAAAGCAUUUGCCAAGAAUGUUUUCGUUAAUCAAGAACGAAAGUUAGAGGUUCGAAGGCGAUUAGAUACCGCCCUAGUUCUAACCAUAAACGAUGCCAGCUAGCGAUCUGCCUGCGUUUUUACUGUAGACUGGGCAGGAAGCUUCCGGGAAACCGAAGCAUUUGGGUUCCAGGGGAAGUAUGGUUGCAAAGCUGAAACUUAAAGGAAUUGACGGAAGGGCACCACCAGGAGUGGAGCCUGUGGCUUAAUUUGACUCA
rnacentral:rRNA from 1 species